UACGUAGGCAGCGAGCGUUGUUCGGAAUUACUGGGCGUAAAGAGUGUGUAGGCGGUGCUCUAAGUCUGUCGUGAAAUCUCCCGGCUUAACUGGGAGGGUGCGGCGGAAACUGGUGUGCUCGAGGGUGGGAGAGGUAAGCGGAAUUCCUGGUGUAGCGGUGAAAUGCGUAGAUAUCAAGAGGAACACCUGAGGUGAAGACGGGUUGCUGGGCUGACACUGACGCUGAGGCGCGAAAGCCAGGGGAGCAAACGGG
rnacentral:rRNA from 1 species